UAUAUCAGUCAUGCAUAGCAUAUCAAUAAGCGGAGGAAAAGAAACUAACAAGGAUUCCCUUAGUAACGGCGAGUGAGGCGGGAAGAGCUCAAAUUUGAAAUCUUCAAGGUUUUACCUUGACGAAUUGUAGUUUAAAGAAGUGUUUUCUGUUGAAGUUUUGGUAAAAGUUCUUUGGAAUAGGACAUCAUAGAGGGUGAGAAUCCCGUAUUUGACCAUUACUUUCAGCUUUGUGAUACACUUUCAAUGAGUCGGAUUGUUUGGGAAUGCAGUCCAAAAUGGGUGGUAAAUUUCAUCUAAAGCUAAAUAUUGGCGAGAGACCGAUAGCGAACAAGUACCGUGAGGGAAAGAUGAAAAGAACUUUGAAAAGAGAGUUAAACAGUACGUGAAAUUGUCAAAAGGGAAGCGUUUGACACCAGUGUUGUUUUCUCGAAAAUCAAUUAAAAAGAGUUGGAUUUUGUGUUGUAUUGACUUUAUCAGCUUUCUUCACUCUUUUCCAGCUUUUUUUAAUGCACUUUUCGUUUAACAAGUCAACAUCAGUUUCUUUUGUUGUAAAAAGGUCAUUGGAAGGUGGCUUUCUCUUCGGAGCAAGUGUUUAUAGCCUUUGACUCAUGCAAUCGGAGAGACUGAGGUCUGCAGCGUAGAUCCUUCGGGGUUAGAUACAUUUGUGCUAAGUUAUAGCUUUUCAUAGACAACUUGUUGACUAUGUUUAGUCUUGUAGCUUACUCGCUUAUGCUAUUUUACCUACGCUUAGGAUGUUGAACUCUAUCACACACAG
rnacentral:rRNA from 1 species